CGUGUCAGACGGUGUACGUGCAUAAUGCAUAUAGCAUUAUUCGCACUUUAACCGAACAUCUGAAACAAAAGGACACUACUUAUGUAGAUAUAAAUAAGAGGUUUGGUAAGGCCUAAGAGAGCAAGAGAUAGCACAAAAUUAUCUUCCGAGCAGACAUGGUGCUAUAUUCCUUCACUCGUUAUAUUAUUCUGGUCAUAUUAUUCUCUGCAGCAAUCUUGGCCAUGCAGCCGUAUCAAAUCAGUGCAGAUACUGAAGCAAGAAAACUAGUUGAUUUCGCGCAACAUCGCACCAUGCCAAGUCCCCCUACACCAACAGCAAACCAGCAGAUACAUGUACAUGGUUGAAGCGUACAUCAUUUGCCAAUUAAACAUCGAUCAUCCUAAACGUACCUGCACCAAAACCAAAAACCGGACAGCCUCUGCAUGUACAUGAUGCAUGCAUGAAGCGUGCGUACAUGAUAUAUAUGGUUAUAUAUAUGUUAGAAGAGAGUGACAAAUUAAGAGUUUGAUUGGCAUUAAGAGUGGAAUAUUUCUACAUCCUUUUUAUGGGAUCAAUAUAUAUAUAUAUAUAUAUAUGAUGUAAGAUUUGAGUGUUUCGCAAAUAAUCUUUUUGUUGCAAUAAAUUAAUUACAAAAAUUCGUUUUUCUAGUAA